rnacentral:rRNA from 1 species
UACGGAGGGUGCAAGCGUUAUCCGGGUUCACUGGGUUUAAAGGGUGCGUAGGUGGGCAGGUAAGUCAGUGGUGAGAUCUCCGAGCUUAACUCGGAAACUGCCAUUGAUACUAUUUGUCUUGAAUAUUGUGGAGGUAAGCGGAAUAUGUCAUGUAGCGGUGAAAUGCUUAGAUAUGACAUAGAACACCAAUUGCGAAGGCAGCUUACUACACAAUGAUUGACGCUGAGGCACGAAAGCGUGGGGAUCAAACAGG